rnacentral:lncRNA from 1 species
CAGUUUAACCCGCUGAACCGCCCUCUACUUAAACAGGUGAACAAGCUGGAUAAAACCACGUUAUAUAUUAAAUUUUUUUAAAUUGAUCUUGUAAAUUGGAUGGAUUUUACUUUAAAAAGAGAGGGAGGAUAUAUUUUAUCUGAACUUCGCUUCAUUUGUUCAAGUUCAUUUCAAGUGUUCAAGUCUGGUCGACAAUCGGUUAACCCAUGCAAACUGUGCAGCCAACGGUAAAAUGCUGAUAAAAGCUAAACAAAUUACGUAUUAAAUGUCUAGAAAAUCACUGAAGUGAAUCAAUAAGUGCAGGUGUACGUAUUGGCGUCGCACGGGACGUACUUUUGAACAUGUUGAACACAAAAACGGCACCGAGGACGUCACAAGAAGAUUGUUGACGUGAUUUAUAAUGGAUCGAAGCUACUUGAGUGGCCGAGAAUUCAAAGAAAUGACAAAACUCAAGUACUAGCAGGACGGGCCCGGGACUUCACUGUGGUCAGUUUUUCUCCUAUCACGGCGAUUUGGCAAACAGUCCCAAAACAAGAUUACCCCUCGCUAUCUAGGAUGCAGCCUUUGCGUAAGUACGUAUCUACUCGAGAUCUAUACUAUGUGUGUGGAGGGAGGCAUGUUCCACUAUAUUUUGAGGAGGCUGAUUAGUUGCAAUCAGUUAAACGAUUAAACUUGAACGUCUGCCAUUGCUCGUUCUAUUGUUUGUCUUAUCAAAGUGUUCCACUUAUACACGUGUACAAAUGUAAGUUACACUAACUGUACAUCUGCUCUACAUGCAUUGCUACAGAACACCCAGAUUAUCAUUUCCAGCCUCUCUCUCUCCCUCCCACGCCUCUCUCUCACCUUUGGCUUUACCUGAC